UCUUUGUCUUCCCCUGAGUGAGGAUAUAGCAAUCCCUCUCUGACGGAAAUCAGAAGUUUGAUCCAACAAACCCACUGAAGGCUACCUGUGGCUCACUUCUACAGAUAAAACCUGAAAGUCGGUUGACACUAGAAUCUCUAAAAGAUGUCACAUGGAACAGAAGGGCCGAAUGCUCAGAUCAAGCAAAGAGGGAGAACGGAUGUAUUACGCAAACUGCCACAGAGAGGAAAGUCUCACUGGUGUUUUUAGCUGAUGAGAGCGCUGCCCAGACCUGCAGCACGCUGGCAGAAUUCCCAUGUUUGAUGGUAAAACAGAAUAAACCUAUUUAGCAUUUAA